rnacentral:rRNA from 1 species
ACUCCUGCGGGAGGCAGCAGUGGGGAAUUUUGGACAAUGGGCGAAAGCCUGAUCCAGCAAUGCCGCGUGAGUGAAGAAGGCCUUCGGGUUGUAAAGCUCUUUUGUCAGGGAAGAAACGGUGAGAGCUAAUAUCUCUUGCUAAUGACGGUACCUGAAGAAUAAGCACCGGCUAACUACGUGCCAGCAGCCGCGGUAAUACGUAGGGUGCAAGCGUUAAUCGGAAUUACUGGGCGUAAAGCGUGCGCAGGCGGUUUUGUAAGUCUGAUGUGAAAUCCCCGGGCUCAACCUGGGAAUUGCAUUGGAGACUGCAAGGCUAGAAUCUGGCAGAGGGGGGUAGAAUUCCACGUGUAGCAGUGAAAUGCGUAGAUAUGUGGAGGAACACCGAUAGCGAAGGCAGCCCCCUGGGUCAAGAUUGACGCUCAUGCACGAAAGCGUGGGGAGCAAACAGGAUUAGAUACCCCAGUAGUCCCAUGA